UGUGAAACUGCAGACCAGCACAGAGAUGGUGCUACUGGUGAAAUGUGAAGCUCAGCUUGGAAACUUCUGCUCUAGAGCACAUUACAACGUGAUCAAAUCAAACAGUGUCAUUCCUCCUUCCUCAAAGAGCUUUGCUAAAGGACUCUUACGCGCCGCUUGAACCCAAGCUGCUGCAAUCGGCAGGCUCAUCUUUGGGACUUUCCUCUCAGCCAGAAUCAAACGUGACCCUUUUAAUCCUCAGUUGGUGGAGUGUUUUGAAAGAGCGCAAGAAGAACCAGCGGACAGCACAUACAGAACAGACACGCUGGAUAAAGGUGGGGGAUGAGAACAGCAGAAUGUGGUGAUCCCACUUGGUGCAGGGACUUGCCAACUAGUAUUACACUGGAAAAGAAGAGGUGAGAAGAGAGAACACACCAUCAAAGAUCCUAUUUUCUUAUGUACUGUCAAAAACAUGCUUGUACUAAAGACGAGCUCCUUCAGCUUGCUGAAGUCAGCAAUGCCUGGCAGACAUGGUGUACCCUGCAACAAACUCCAGGGCGAGAAAUGGGAAUUCACCCCCGUUGGUGUCAAACUGGCAGGAUGGGAACGUCACCAACUGCAGUCUGGGGAUGCCCCUGUGUUGACAGAGAUGGGAUGAGGGGGAUGCAGUUUGCCCACAGGUAGCGGUAGGGUCUUGUAAAUCUUAGCUAAGUAUCCGUGUGAAGAUGACUCAGUGUCAACUAGAGACCAGUGCUGUAAAAGGCUGCAGGAGUAAUUCCAUGAAACCACCACGCCAAAAGACAGCGUUGGCUUAAAACUUUGAAUGGAGGAUACUGGCCAGAACGUUGUAUUUGAGAAUGUCCAGAGGAAAGAGAUUAAAGGCUCACUUACGGGUUGUAAACAACAACUAACGCUUCAGCUGCAGAGCGCUUUGUUGGAGCAGGAGAACUGGAAGAGGUUUCUAGAUCUGUCACAUUCUGCUGGUUUUGUACAUUGGAAGCUUUUAUUUUAUGCUGCGAGGGAAAUGGCACUGAGAAAUCACCUCCUCGCAGCCCGUGCACAUCUGUGUUAGAAAAGCAGCACAGGCGUUUGGCCGCCCGUUCAAGGGCGUUGGAGCUCGCGCGAGCGGCGUGCGCGGAGACGCGGCCGGCGCGCUCGCUGGCCACCGUUGCCGACCCGUCCCAGUAACCUGAGCAGCGCUCCUCGAGCGCCGCGGCCACGCCAGCCCCUGAACAGCUGCAGCGGCAGCUGCGUGAAGCGCAGGUUUAGGUUAUUACUAGAGAAGUCAUUAAGUAAGUAAUUACAUUGCUGAUUCUCUCCCCUCCCUAUCACUUCACCUGUUUUUAAUAGAAUGGCUACUCAGCAAUCUUCUCUAUAUUUACAUUUUCGUUAAUUCUAUGAUGUAGAUUUAAUAGAUCUAAACAUUGCUGAAAAUAUUGUCUUGCUACAUCAGUGCAAUAAGACAAAAAAAAAUCAUAAGAGAAAAAUGUAUUAAGAGAAUUAGAAGUUCGAACGAAGGGAAAAGGGCACUUCUCCACCUUUGGCCUGAGAUGUGCCACAGAGGCACAGAAGCCCUGGCAAUUGAAGCCGUGUAAUUCUAGAAUAGAAAAUCCUGUCCUCCCACCUCCAGAAUUACUCUUAUUUCUGAAUAUUUUUUUGAAUAACUGGUUUGGCCUAAGGUCCUUAUACUUCAGCAAACUUAUGCCAAUCUUUCUUUAAAUUAACUAUUGUGGCAGAUCUUACUUUUUUAUGGUAAAACUAAGAUUUAGUCCAUCCAAUUGCCAAUCACAGAUCUCCAUAUUAACUCUCAGAGACCAGCCAGUGAACAAAAAGCAAAGGCAAAAUAUUUCAAGCCACUUAAGUGUUUUUUCAUUAGAUUUUAUCCUGGUUCUCCCGUGCUUAUUUUAAGUUUCUUCUUUCUUCUUCUUUCUUUCUUUCUUCUUUGAGAUACAGGUUACAGGUUUGUUUCAGCAUCAAAAAUUCAUCUGCAAGUGAUCAAAACCAUAGUCGAAACACAGGAACAAAGGAUUUACCUAGUGAGUCAUCAAAGUGCUUUAUUUUAUAAAGCCUUGCUCAUGUUUGGAGUGUAAUCUAAGCACUAAGAUAUACAAUAAUGAGUCCUCCUUGCCCUGUCCAAAUAAACAGUUUAUCAACAAUAAAGAAUGACAGAAACUGUUACACAGACAAAAAGAAUGCUUUGUUGUCUAAAAUUGUCUAUAAAAUGUACACUAAUUGGCCACAAUUAAAUAUUUACUCAACCUCAUUUUUACUUCAGGGUCUCCCAUACUUUAAGAAGCCACAGCAUACUUCAGAAAAUAAAGCAAGUGAUAUUGUAGACAGAUGGAGUAUAUGGGCAGAGGACAAAAGAUAUCACGCCACGGUACCAACUUAUUUAAAUACAGACAAUACAAAAGUGUACACAUACAUUACAGUGCUGCGGACAUCACUAAGUCAACCGUAACAAAAAAAAAAUGUAGGGAAGGUAGGGGAGGGGAGAAAAAAAUUAAUACAGCAACAGGGACAGUAUUGCCUUUGGCCACUGGAGAGAGCGUGAUGGGUUGCUAUGUAUAGGCUUCUCUGAAGUAAAACACUACGUACAUUACGCACCGUUGCAGGCUGAACAGCACUGACGUGAGUUAUGGCGAAGGCAUGCUGGCACUCCUGAUCUCUGUUAUAAAUGAUGAUGGGGAGGGCAUGACUUAUUUUAAAUUGCCUACAAAACCUAAUAAUUUCAAUAAAGAAAUUUUAAAGGCACAGCUUUAGCACAGUGUAUAAGUAGAUAAACUUUAAGCAUAUGUAAAUUUGUCUUUUUCAAGCAUGGAAUCGUUUGGGAAAAAAUGCAAG